rnacentral:rRNA from 1 species
GACCGGAGACGGGGGAGUCCGCGUGAGAACGUGCCCUUCACUUCGGAACAACCCGGGGAAACUUGCCCUAAUACCGGAUACAUCCGUAAGGAGAAACAUUUAUCGCUGAAAGAUCGGCCCGCGUCUGAUUAUCUACUUGGUGAGGUAACGGCUCACCAAGGCUACGAUCAGUAGCUGGUCUGACAGGAUGAUCAUCCUCUCUGGGACUGAUACACGGCCCAAACUCCUACGGGAGGCAGCAAUGGGGAAUAUUGGACAAUGGGCGCAAGCCUGAUCCAACCUUGCCCCGUGGGUGAUGAAGGCCCUAGGGUUGUAAAGCCCUUUCAGCGGGGAAGAUAAUGACGGUACCCCUUUAAAAAGCCACGACUAACUUCGUGCCAGCAGCCGAGGUAAUACCAAGGGGGCUAGCGUUGCUCGCAAUCACUGGGCGUAAAGCGCACGUGUGCGGCUUUUUAGGUCAGGGGUGAAAUCCUGGAGCUCAGCUCCAGAUCUGCCUAUGA